rnacentral:tRNA from 1 species
GACCGCAUAGUUCAAUCGGAUAGAGCAACUGCCUUCUAAGCAGUGAGUUGAGAGUUCGAGUCUCUCUGCGGUCGCCA